AAUGAGGGACAGAGCAAACAGCUGUGCUGCAGCUGCAAACUGAGGGAAAGCACAAACAGCUGUGCUGCAGCUGCAGACUGAGGGGCAGGGCAAACAGCUGUGUUGUAGACUGAGGGACAGAGCAAACAGCUGUGCUGCAGACAGGGGCAGGGCAACCAGCUGUGCUGCAGCUGCAGACUGAGGGGCAUUGCACCAGAACAGGCAGAAAGCUGGCACAGCACAGCCACCACGCUCACAGCAUGCCAGAGCUCAAACCACAGCCAAGAAACACCCUGAGCAGGCAGAGGGGAGCCACAGAAGGGGACAACGCCCAGUGUCCUAUCCAGACGGACACCGGACAAUCCCCAGUGCCCUGUCCAGAGGGGACAAUCCCCAGUGCCCUGUCCAGAGGGACACAGGACAAUCCCCAGUGCCCUGUCCAGAGGGGACAAUCCCCAGUGCCCUGUCCAGAGGGACACAGGACAAUCCCCAGUGCCCAGUGCCCUGUCCAGAGGGACACAGGACAAUCCCCAGUGCCCUGUCCAGAGAGGACACAGGACAAUCCCCAGUGCCCAGUCCAGAGGGGACAAUCCCCAGUGCCCUGUCCAGAGGGACACAGGAAAGUGCCCAGUGCCCUGUCCAGAGGGGACAAUCCCCAGUGCCCUGUCCAGAGGGACACAGGACAAUCCCCAGUGCCCUGCCCACACAAGCUCAGUCCUUCAGGCACUGCCAGAGGGGGAAAGCUUUCUCAGCUUUAUGGCUUGGGGAGCAGGCACAGGGGAUCCCCACAAGGCCUGGAAGAGAGAAUUUGGCCAGUGGGAUGUUAAAUACUCCAGGAGAGGGUCUGGCAUGUAGAACAGGGGCCUGUGCCCACCUUCAAUCACCAGAAUGGGUUGGGCAGGAAGAGACUCCAAAACCAGUCUGGCUGCUGCAGCCCCUGCCCUGGGUGCAGCCCUGAGAGGUGAGAGGCCCUUCCCUUCCCUGACACCCCUACCAGGGCUGCCACGUGGGAUCCCUGGCACCAAGGGACAUGCAGAAAUGAUCUGUCUCCUGCUCCACUGCAGAAAAGGAGCUGGGAUUGAAUGGUGGAGCCCCAACCCUCCCUGAAAUGAAGAGAUCAUUUUGCAUCCCCGUGUGAAUUCACGGCAAAGCCAGGUCAGUUAACCAGUUAACCAUUUAACCAGUUAACCAGCUGACCACUUGCAAGGCAGCUGGAGCUACCAGCACAAGGGUGAGCCUCAGCACCAGUUACAUUCUGAGUAUUGCCCUUUCUGAGCACAGCUCUCUCCAAAUAUUUUUCAUUUUGAACUCUGCCUGUUACCACCUGCAAUACAAAACUGUUCCUUCAUGCACAUUAAAAAAAUCCACCAUGGCUUUGCACAGCAGAGAGAAUAAAUCUGUUUGGAAGAAAGCAGCAAGGACUAAUGUCAGAACUUACAGCCAGAGACACACCAGAAGGAAAAUUCAUUUUCAAAAUGAUCUCCAAGCCAGCCACCUUCCUCCCAGAGAAGCUCAUGGCUUAUAUCCAGGCCAAGAUUUACACGAGGACCCUGGAUUUGCAAAGCUGGAAUGGCUGGAGAGCGAAGCACUUAAACACCCCUCUGCUAAUGGACAGCAAAAAGAUCUCUGUAACUUCAUUAUGACUUGUGUUGGCUCAGCACUGCAAUAACUAGCAGGAGGGGAGAGGAACAGCUUGUAGGCAUGCAGGUGUCAGCCAUCCUGUGGUGGGCCACAGCAUAAAUCCAAGGAGAAGUGUGAAAAUAAGGAAACCUUCUAUUCUAUUCAGCUAAAAAUCCCUGAAAAAAAAGUCCCAAACCCUGGAUCUGUAUGAAUUCUGCCCCCACAAAACGCCAGAGCUGCCUCUCCCCCAGCACUGAAGUGACCCAACACUCUCCAAGCUCUUGGGGACCCCACAACAUUACUCAAGUUGACACUGCUAACAUGCAAACCAGAUUUCAGCACAAGCAGCUCCAAAUCCCAGAGGGUUCUGAGGCUCCCUCCUGCCCCUGCUGCCGAAUUCUCCCUCUGCUGUGCUGGAGCAAGAGCUCCAUCUUCUGCAGCAGCAGGAAAGAGCCCAGCCCAGAGCAUCCCCAGGGAGUCAGUGGGACAGAGCCACUGCAGGGUGAAGCCACCACCCCCGGAGUCACACAGCUGCUGAGGGCAGAAGCACUGCAUGGAAAUGAAUUUUCAGAGUGCAAGUUGCUUAUGGCUGUAAGGACACAUGGCUGAAAAGCUCCAGGAAUUGCUCUAGGAAACAGCAAGAGAACAUCCCACACCGUGCCCCAAUAUUUCCUGGAGUGUGUGCAAGGUUAGAAUCCUGCCUUGGGACUGCAGGCAUGAUCAGAACAGCCAAAGGGAACAGCCAAAGAAAGAGAACAGCUAAAAACAACAGCCAAAGGGAACAGCCAAAGGGAACAGCCAAAGGGAACAGCCAAAGGGAACAGCCAAA